UACAGAGGGGGCAAGCGUUAUUCGGAAUUAUUGGGCGUAAAGAGCUCGUAGGCGGUUUGUCGCGUCUGCCGUGAAAGUCCGGGGCUCAACUCCGGAUCUGCGGUGGGUACGGGCAGACUAGAGUGAUGUAGGGGGAGACUGGAAUUCCUGGUGUAGCGGUGGAAUGCGCAGAUAUCAGGAAGAACACCAACGGCGAAGGCAGCUCGCUGGGACGGUACUGACGCUGAGACGCGAAGCGUGGGGAGCGAACAGG
rnacentral:rRNA from 1 species